UACGAGUGCCCCGAGCGUUAUCCGGAAUCAUUGGGCGUAAAGGGUGUGUAGGUGGCAGUGUUAGUCAGUUGUUAAAACCCGGGGCUUAACCCCGGAUGUGCGACUGAUACGGCACAGCUAGAGGAUGCGAGGGAUGUAUAGAACUCAUGGAGUAGGGGUGAAAUCCGUUGAUAUCAUGGGGAAUACCAAAAGCGAAGGCAGUACAUUGGCGCACUCCUGACACUGAAACACGAAAGCGUGGGUAGCGAAUGGG
rnacentral:rRNA from 1 species